UACGUAGGGUGCAAGCGUUGUCCGGAAUUAUUGGGCGUAAAGAGCUUGUAGGCGGUUUGUCGCGUCUGCUGUGAAAUUUCGGGGCUCAACCCCGAACUUGCAGUGGGUACGGGCAGACUAGAGUGUGGUAGGGGAGACUGGAAUUCCUGGUGUAGCGGUGAAAUGCGCAGAUAUCAGAAGGAACACCGAUGGCGAAGGCAGGUCUCUGGGCCACUACUGACGCUGAGAAGCGAAAGCAUGGGGAGCGAACAGG
rnacentral:rRNA from 1 species